AGUCAACAUGCCCAGGGGACGUGGAUAACCUCGGGAAACUGAGGAUAAACCGCGAUAGGUCAUUACUUCUGGAAUGGGUAAUGACUUAAACCUAUAUGGCCCCUGGAUUGGACUGCGGCCGAUCAGGCUGUUGGUGAGGUAAUGGCCCACCAAACCUGUAACCGGUACGGGCUCUGAGAGGAGGAGCCCGGAGAUGGGCACUGAGACAAGGGCCCAGGCCCUAUGGGGCGCAGCAGGCGCGAAACCUCUGCAAUAGGCGAAAGCUUGACAGGGUUACUCUGAGUGAUUUCCGUUAAGGAGAUCUUUUGGCACCUCUAAAAAUGGUGCAGAAUAAGGGGUGGGCAAGUCUGGUGUCAGCCGCCGCGGUAAUACCAGCACCCCGAGUGGUCGGGACGUUUAUUGGGCCUAAAGCAUCCGUAGCCGGUUCUACAAGUCUUCCGUUAAAUCCACCUGCUUAACAGAUGGGCUGCGGAAGAUACUAUAGAGCUAGGAGGCGGGAGAGGCAAGCGGUACUCGAUGGGUAGGGGUAAAAUCCGUUGAUCCAUUGAAGACCACCAGUGGCGAAGGCGGCUUGCCGGAACGCGCUCGACGGUGAGGGAUGAAAGCUGGGGGAGCAAACCGGAUUAGAUACCCGGGUAGUCCCAGCUGUAAACGAUGCAGACUCGGUGAUGAGUUGGCUUAUUGCUAACUCAGUGCCGCAGGGAAGCCGUUAAGUUUGCCGCCUGGGGAGUACGGUCGCAAGACUGAGACUUAA
rnacentral:rRNA from 1 species